UCCGUUCUACCCCGCUCAUCACUUGGGCUA
rnacentral:piRNA from 1 species